rnacentral:rRNA from 1 species
UGGGGAAUCUUCCGCAAUGGACGAAAGUCUGACGGAGCAACGCCGCGUGAGUGAAGAAGGUUUUCGGAUCGUAAAACUCUGUCUUUUGGGGCGAACGUGAGUAUGGUGAACAAUCAUAGUCAGUGACGGUACCAAAGGAGGAAGCCACGGCUAACUACGUGCCAGCAGCCGCGGUAAUACGUAGGUGGCAAGCGUUGUCCGGAAUUAUUGGGCGUAAAGAGCGCGUAGGCGGGAUAGUCAGUCUGUUGUAAAGUGCGGGGCUCAACCCCGUGAUGGCAAUGGAAACAGCUAUUCUUGAGUGCAGGAGAGGAAAGUGGAAUUCCCAGUGUAGCGGUGAAAUGCGUAGAUAUUGGGAGGAACACCAGUGGCGAAGGCGACUUUCUGGACUGUGUCUGACGCUGAGGCGCGAAAGCCAGGGGAGCGAACGGGAUUAGAUACCCCGGUAGUCCUGGCCGUAAACGAUGGGUACUAGGUGUGGGAGGUAUCGACCCCUUCCGUGCCGGAGUUAACGCAAUAAGUACCCCGCCUGGGGAGUACGGUCGCAAGACUGAAACUCAAAUGAAUUGACGGGGUCAUAGCU